rnacentral:lncRNA from 1 species
CCGCUGUACAGGGAAGCUCAGCUUGGCUGAAGCUGGAGCAGCGGGGGCCGCAAUGACCAACCAGCCACUCAGCAGCCAGCACAGCCUGCGUCCAGUGAGGUCUGGUGUUGGCAGGUGCAGAGUGUGCAGGCCUUCCUUUCCUAGGAGAAGGUGGGUCCCUCGGCCACGACGUGGCUGGGUCUCAGCGCGGAGCCAUCUUGGGCCUGGCCUGGGAGCUGCCGGGUCCACAGGCUGCAUCUUCAAGCCAGGCAGAUUCAGGCUCCCAGAGGGGUCCCAUCCGUUGUCCACCUGGCAAAAGGACCUUCUAGAAAGUUCUUUCUCAAAGGGGAACUGACAUUCCUGCCCUACUUUGUUCCAAGAUGGGAGCUGUGGUCUCAGAGGUAGGUGUGGAAAACCCAGAGUGGGGCUGCCUCUGUCUCUGCUCAAGGAUUUCUAGUUUGCUCAUGGAAGGGCUUGGUUUUGUCAGCAGCUGUGGCCUGGAUCGACCCUGUGGUCAGAGAUUGCCCAAAGCCCGCAGGCUGGUGACAGUCAGUGUGUGGCAGGAGCAGGAAAGUGAGCUAUUUCUCAGCUGCCCAUUUCUGGGGCGCCACCUUGGAGCUGGGGGGCGCUGGUACUUGGGGUGAGGCCCAAAGUUGAUUCUGAAGGGUUCUUAAAUGCCGAGCAGCAGGGUGGCAAUGUCCAGCCACACAGACAACCCAGUCUGGUCACGUUUGGCCUACACUCUGGGCCAGGCACACCCGGCCUCAGCCUGCACCUGGCUUGCUUGGACAGUUUCAAGUUCAGGAGCUGAUACUGGUGGUGGCAGCCAGCUUCAUUUUCUUUGAGGCAGUAUAUAAAGUUCAUUGUUUCCCUUAUUCCUGAUGAACAAAACUUUUAAGAUGUAAGAAUACAGUAUUUUGAGUAAUCCACUGUGAGCAUUACAGGCUUUUUUUCAGGAUGAGCAUCUGGAAAAAUAAAUAGGUUUUGUUCUGUUUUGUUUUUCCAGUAACUCAGAUAAAAUGUUAGCACAGUUGGCAGCUUCCUGAAUUAGGCAAAGUAAGUUUUGCAUUUAUGAAAAUGAAACUCAACCAUAAAACAUGGACACAGUCCACUGUUAAUUUUCAGACAUUUUCAUAAUUUGCAAGUACCUUAUUUGCAAAAUUGGUUUUUCGGGAGCUUUAGAGUCCUCAGGGCUGGGUGAGCCGUUCUGAGGAGGCUCCUGGCCCCUCCAUCAGGCGGGUGGACCUGGGCUGUGCCCUGCGCACGGCCAAGGAGGGACGCUGUGGCCCUUGGGCGAAAUGGCGGCUGUGCCUCGAAGACACGUAGCUGCAGCGGAAGCUAAGAGGCUUGAGCACCGAGCCAAGCCUGCCGCCACCACCACCCCCCCGCCCCCUGCGGCCUCUGGCGUCUGGGUCUGGCUGAUCCGAGCAGGCAGGAAAGGUUGGGUUUCAGCGCUUUGUUCUCUGGGCGGCCUGGCCAUUGAUUAAGGCCCGUUGGGCAGGUUAACCAGCCACCCACUUUUUCGCACCGGGAUUGCAUUCCUGGCCAGGCCCCCAACCUCCUCCCAGACGGGGCUGAGCUAGGCGCCCUGGGGGGUGUUUGCUCUACUGGGCAGCCUGGGGCCUCUGGGCCGCUUCGAGCCUUUCCUCGAUUUUCCCAAGCGAGCCUGGUGGAAGGUGAUGAUUAACCAGCACCAUUGGGGAAGACAGGCCGUUGGGGACCAGAGGUGCCUCGCCCAGGAGAGGAGCCUGCUGCUCCAGAGAGGAGCCUGUUUUCAGUUUUCAUUUCCCCACUGUGGCUGAGGCUCACACUGUUGUCAUCCCUCCCCUGCCCCCGUGCCAGGAGAAGCCAGGGUCCCCUGCUGAGCUGUGCUCUGGGCAGAGAUGCAUCUCCCAUCCCUGCCUUGGAGUGUGGAGGACUGACACUCCUGCCCUCUGCGCCAGGCCUGUGCUCAUCUAUACUUCUCUCAGCCUACCGCCCAGGCGAGGCUCCUGACUGCCCAGUGGGCAGUGCAUCACCCUGGCCUGUCCCUUGGCUGUAGCCAGACCAGCUUUGGGCCCUAUAGGGUCCCCCAGCCCUCAGGGCUCCCCAAGACGUCCUGCUCCUGAGUGGCCAAGGGCAUUGGAGACACUAGGCCCCCCCGAGCGGUGGGAGGUGGCCUGUCGGCCAAGCAUGCUGGGGAAUGUGCUUGACCCAGCCUGGAGGGUUGGAUGCUGGGCUCUGCCCACGCCCCACUCAGCCCUGCAGCCUCCCCUGUGGCCUGGCCACCAGGCAGAGGAGCUGAAAUUUCACUCAGCUCUGAAAGGGAAGCCUUAGCUCAGAAAACAAGUGAAAUUGCAACCUCAAAGCACAGAUUUGACAGGGUCAGAGGGACAGGUGUGUAACUUGGAAGGAAGGGGGCACAUCCUGUGGUGUCUGCGGGUACAGGGCUACAGGGCAGGGACCCAGGGGUGGCAGGGACUCUGAGCCAGGACAGCCUGUGGAGGUCCAUGUGCCUGAAAUAUGUCCGGCCACACCUGCCGGGCUGAGCCAGGCAAGGGCAGGUGUGCAAAAUGCUGGCCGUGGGGAGUGGGGAAAGACCAGGCCGCCCUGGCCCUUCCUGUGGUCGGCUGGCAGCUGGUGGAAUCAGCGCAGCCUGCACCCCUUAGUAGACACUGCAGGAGGAAGAUGCUUGGACCCUACCCAGCCCCUCUCCAAGCCCAGGCUGCCAUGAGGUAGGAGAGAAAGGAGCAGAGCAGGGUCUGAGAGGUCAGAGUGCCAGGAGACUCUCCCCGGGCAGCUGCCCAGGCCUCUCGGCUCCAGGAGGGGCUGUAGGCUGGUCACUGAGCACAUGGGUGCUUCAGAGCAGCCCUUUCUGAAUAGCCUUGUCCCCAUGGGCCCCUGGGCGGAGGGCUCUGUGUUCUGUGUGGGGCUGCUGUUCACCUGCUCCGGAGCAGGACUCCAGGCCUGGUGCCACUGGGAGAGGGACAGUGAGAGGAGAGCCGUCCUGCCUCUCGAGCUGGGUUGCUUGUGCCUUGCCCAGUGCCCUUCCUGGGCGCUGGAGAAGGGCAGGUGGGGCUGGGCAGGAAGCAGGCUCCAGACAGCGUCCUGGGGCAGAGGCCAGUGGUAUAGCCUGGCCAGCCUCAGACACGGGAGGUGCCAACCUGUGCUCACAAUGGGGCUCUGGGGCCUGGACCACGCCUCUCUCUGGGACCACCCUGAGGGAGGCUCUACCCACCCCUGCUCUCCUUCCUAUUCCUUGGGCCACCAGCCUCUGGGCGGGAUCCCCUGCCUCCCGGAGUGCCCAUCUGGGCCCACACAGUGACACUGGGGCUAGAGGGCAGUUCACUAUGGCCCCAGCCCCCGUGAGGCCUCAGGCACCUGGGACCCUGCCAAGCCCUUGCCCUGUGGGGCUGCCCCCCCGCCCCACCCAGGGCUCAGAGAAGAGACAGCUCCUCUCAGGCACCCGUCAGCCCCCACCCAAGCCCCAGCUGGCGGCCCCCAGACCAAUCUGGGCAGCCGUGGCCAUCUUACUGGGCAGCAUUGGAUGGUGUCUGGUCUCUAAUACUGCCUGGUAAUGAUGACGGCGGAGCCCUGCACGCAGCAACGGGGCCGCCUCCCCUCCGCUCCCACCCCACCCCCACCUGGAGCCCCACAACGCGCCCAUCCCUCCAUCCUGCCCACUGGCUUCUGGGUGGAGCCGCGGGACAGAAACUCGACCCUGGGAAGGAGACUGGAGCACGCCGCGCCCCAGCUCCUCUGAGGAGCACCCCAGCCUCCAGGAUGAAAGGCCUCCUGCAGCUGCUCCACCCCUCCCCCCAGCCAGUGUUCUGGGGAUUAGGACGCUCAGGUAUCCUGGCCCUGCCCAUGGCACCCAGGCAGGUGCUGCCACCACACCUGGCAGGUGUGGGCUGCGGAUACUGCAGCAAAGGGCUCUAAGGGUAAAGGCUCAGCAGGGCCCAUGGGUGGGGGUGGGGCACCCAGGCUGGGCCUUGCUCCCCUCCUGCUCCACCGUGGGGAGGCAGCUGUACCUCCAGCCUUGGUCCCAAGCCAGCACACAAGGUCCCCUGCUAGGGAAAACCAGGGAAGGCAGACAAGCGGCUUCAGGUCUCUGCUGGCCCCAUCCAGUCCAAGCCAUUCACUGCUCUGGGUCACCGGGCUCUGAGCCUAUGGGUGGAAAGCUACACUUCUGUCCCCUGCACCCCGUGCUGGGUGCACCUGGGCAUCUGUGGGCAUCUUAUCGGACAGUGCUGGAUUUCUCGGCUUGACUCUAACACUGUCUGGUAACGAUGUUCAAAGGUGACCCACUGCCCUCGAGAUCCCCCGAGGAUGUGCCAUCCCAAGUUCCUGGAUCCAGACGUAGGCAGGGCAGGGGUCCUGCAAUUCUGGGGGCACUCACCGAGGGGGCACCCCUGCCCAUCAUGCCAAGGCUGGCUAGGCUGGUUCUGCCACAUGAGGGGCCCCAUCCUGGAGCAGCCUCUGCCUACCCUUACCCCCACUCCUCCCAGGCUGGGUUUUGGGCUCAGCUAGUCCUGUAGAGCCAUCAGGCCCAGGACUGUGGGCUGGAGGAGGAGACUUUGGGCCUGUGGCCUCUCAGCAUUCAGGGCUGUGUAAGUGCCCUGUUCUGGGGACUGGGGAGGCCAGUGUGGUUCAGGCACCCUAGCGCCACACACAGAACUGAGGACGUCCCCCACUGUUUCCUGACCAAGGACAAGGAAUCUGCAUUCCCUCUGCCAGCCAAGGCGACCAGGAAAUUUGUCCAAAAUUACAAUCCAGGAGGACCCAGUUUAUUUUUUUGAUCUGAGACCAGGACACAGGGCCAGGAGGCCCACCCAGCAUGGGGCAGGGCAGGGCAGUGUCUGCCCUUAAACCUUCUGUUACUCAUUAAGCUGCCUGGAGUCAUGCAGGAAACUGGAGGCUGAGGUGAGCAUUUGGCCUGGAUCCACUGGUCCAGACCACUCCCUGGUGGCAUCCACAACACCCAUUCCUGGACCGGGUCAGUGCUUAUUCCUCAGAGCAGCCCUGGGUUUGGGGCUGGCUCAGCCGUCAGGAGGGUGGGCCCCAGGAUGCCUUCCCUCCACAGGCACCAGGAUCAGAGGAGCUCACUCCUGCCCACGAUGGGCGUCUUACCAGACACGGUUAGAUCUGGAUGCUUCUGUCUAAUACUGUCUGGUAAUGCCGUCCAUCUACGGCCUGGUCACCGCUGGAGCAGAACCCCCAGCCCCAUGGGACCCUCACCGGACACCAGGCAAAGACUGAGGCCUGUGACCCAUCUGGCACAGCUGCCCAGGCCCCCAGGACCCUGCUGCCUCCCCUAACCCCAUGGUGGCUUUGUUGGCAUGACCAAGGGUUUUAGGUGUGGAGACCUGCAUCUGCUGCCCUCAGGAGCACAGCCACACCGAGGGUCACUGAGGACAGUCACCCGGCCCUGCACAAGUGGAGGCCCCCACCCUGAAUCUUGGCCUUCAGCGCCUCCACAUGCACAGGCCAGGGGCCUAACAAGGACCCAGAAGAAGCCCUGCCCAUGACCCUGACGCAAGCAUGGGGGAAAGGACACGUGGGCAGGGAGGGAAAGUCUGUGGCUCACCGUGGGGCAGCACCAGGACCCAGUGACCCCUGGGAGGUGCCAGAGGCAGGCCCUGGGGAUGGGGAAAUGGGCCACCCCCCCAGGCCUCAGCUUGGGGGUCCCACACAUUCACAUCCAGGGCUGAGGUGGUUGGGGCCAAUGCCAGGGGCCAGGGCCGAUGACAAUGACCAUGGCUGGGUAAACAGGUGCACAGUUGUACAACCCCUGUCCACAAAGCUGACAACUGGGGCAGCUUUGAACUGGCUCGUGAGUGAUGCUAGUUUGCUGUGACCUCCCCUGGGAAUGUGGUAUGCAGAUCGCUUGUGAGACCUCAGCCCUGGACCCAAACACACAAACCCUGGUAUGGCCAGUGCUCAGGCUGGCUGGUGGCACCCCGCACACCCCACCCCAUCCCGGCCUGGACGCUAAUCCUGCUCCUGUCCUCAUGGGCCUCCUUUGUCCCGGUGGUGAUGAAGUUGGUCUCUCUUGGGGGCCACUCUGCUCAUAAACAAGGAACCCUGGCACGUAGCUGGCUUCACCCUCCCAGAGCAGCUUCCACCUGACUGCUCUGGACUGUGAGCCAGGCCCCUCUGGUGGAGGCGCCUGAAGGUGUGGGCUUCUCCUAGUCCUGGCCUGGCUCAUUGUGAACAAAAAAGUCUGUAUGGCAAUAAACUCUGAUUCCUGAAAGCAAGCAGACUCUGACCACCUCCUUGUCACUAGUACAGCGACCCACAGCUUUGCACAGGGCUGGGAGAUGCCCCCCUCGGUCUUUCCUGGCUCAGUUCAGUUCUGGUCCCAGGGAAGCCCCGGAGCAGGAAGGACAGGACACAGUUCUGAUGGGGACAGCAGAGCAGAUUUCUGAGUCAGAGCUCUGAACCCAGGACCUAGGAAAGGUGGGCAUCUGCCCAAGCCAUGGCCUGGCAAGAAGCUCCUGGGGGCAGUGCUGGGGGACCCUGAAGGCUGUGCUCCCAGCAGGGGAGAGGCUGCCGUGGGUGGUGUGCGCCGCAGCUUCAACGCUCUCCGUGGCCACCACACAAGUGGCACAAGUGCUCUGGAAGGCAAGCUGCCGUCCCUGGCCAGGCCUGGCCCUGAUAUAGGUUGAGAAGGUCAGCACCAAAGUGGGGCCUGGCACUCCCGCCCUCCCUCCCUCCGGCCAGCAUGAGGACGCCCUCUGCUCUGGCCGCCAGACGGACUGUGGCUGCCUGGGCAGAGGGUCAGAUGGCUGGGUGCAGCAAGAUAGCCCAAAGGCCCUCGGAUGGGUGGGGCCGGCAACAGGAACCGACCCCACCCAGGGAACCAGUGAGGGUGGGGGUUUUCCACAGGAGGGUGGCUCUCCAGCCCAGCCAAGCCUUGCGAAAUGCCCCCUUCUGACAGCUCAGGGAAGAGCCACACGGGGUGUGGCCCAGGGCAGCCAGCUUCUGGGUGGGCAAGGAAGCCCCAGAGCAGCCAGUGCUGUGCAGGACCCUGGAAGGAGAGCAGAGGUAGGAGCGUAUGGGCUUCCUGCCAUAAACAAUACCACAAACUGGGGGCCUCCAGGGGGUCUGCAGUCCAAGACUGAGGCCCCAGCAGGCUGGGGUUCCCACUGAGCUUGGGUGUUCCUCCUGUGGCCCAGGCUGCCUUUGCCUUGUGGCCGAACUGCGUCCUCAUCAUGGCUUCUCUCUGCUCUCUCCUUCCUCUGCCUGCCCCUGAGGAUGCUGGCACUGAACUGAGAACAAUCUCAUCUGAAAUCCCAACUUAGACACAUCUGCACAGACUUUUUCUCUACUAAGGCCACCUGUGUAGGUUCCAGGGCUCAGGAUGUGUUGCUGUCUUCAGGGGCCCCUCCUGUGUCCUGCAAGGGGCUGCUAACAAGGCUCUGAAGGUCAGCAGGGUAUGAGGCCCGCGUGGCUGGAAGCUGGGGUCAGAGCCCCUCAAACAUGCCUGCCACCUUCUGCCCCUCGCCCCUGCCCAGCUUCCUCCAUUGCGCCUCAGCCCAGACCUUGGCCCUUUUACCACCCACCUAAAGCUCCUGUUUACCUGGGGCUCCACUGGGCUGCAGUUGCCAGUUAACAGUUGCUGAGGGACAGUUGCCAGGCCACCACUGUUGUAUCCCAGCAGAGGGCUCCUGAGACCUCUUGGGAAGGUAAGAGGAAGUUGCAGGCCACCAGCAGGGUCCUGGCCAGGGCUGAGGCUAGGCCCUGCCCUCCUGUGGCCCCCUGGGGACCCAGGAGUCAAGGAAGGGAGCAGGGACUGGAGAGAGACCAGGUGGCUUGGCUGGGCUAAGUCUUCUCCCCCCAGGCUGCCCUCAGCCCAGACACCCUAGGUGAGCUUGGGCAGGGCUGGGCAUCCUUAGGACGAGUCCUCCACCCACAGCCCGUUUGUCUCCCCAAAGGGCCCCUGUGGGAGCUCCUGCAACAAGGUGCUGACAUGUGUUUCUCUUCUUGAACAUUUUCUUCGGGUUUAACAGCAUCUGUCUGUCGAGCCAGAGUGAUUUCCCACCAGUCUUUAAUCUGAGCAGAAACAGCAAUUGACCAACCUCCGAUGUGAAACUCACUUCUGGAUUUAGAGUCGCGUCCUUCAGAGAGACCCUGGACUUGCAGCUGCCAGAGGAUGCCACCUGGGCGCUGGCAGCAUUCCAGCUCUCCCGACACUGUGCACCGGACCCCGUGUUCCGCACACAGCUGCCAGGGCUCUUUAAAAAGUCUUUGUCCAUCUGAAUGACAAGAAAUGAUAAUAACUCAUGGCUUAUUUAAUUCUUUGUGAAAAUAACAAGCAUCAGAGUUAGAAAAGUCAGCCUUAUAAUGAAGAACAGUGAACCCACACAACCCUUCAGGACAUUUCUUAGCUGUGGCAACAGAGGUGGUGCCGAGAGAGUAGGACAG